UGCAUCUCAGUUCAUUUGUUCCUUUCUUUUCCUUCUUUCUCUGUGUUUUAUUUCCGGCUGGGGAGGACGAAGGAAAAACAGAGAGAGAGAGAGAGAGAGAGAGAGUUGAGUCGAGAGGACACAGUGGAGAAGAAGAAGAGGAAGGAUAGGUUCAGGGGAGUCUUCUAGCUGAGUUUUAGUUCUGUUCAGGCAACAAAGAACAGAGCAAAACAGGACUUAAGAUAGUAGAGAGACAGCGAGAGAGAGAGUGACGAUCUGAGGUGACCAAAGUCGAAGAGGAAGAGGGUCAAGAUUGGAGUUCUUGAUUGGGCCAAGGAGACCGAGACCAUACAUCCUGAAGGCUCGACUCAAUAAGAUAAUUUUGGGAGUUCGGUGAAUACUCUACUCCAUAAUAGAAUGCGGUUAUAUUCGGGAUGAAUUAGAGGCUAGACUAGCUAUAUCGGAGGACUUUUUGGACUUCGGGGAUCAUCGUGGAAAAUUUGUAGCUAGACUUGUAUAAAUAGUAGGUAUUAAGCUAUGUAUAGAAUGUUCGUGAAUAGUUACGAUCUGAAAAAUUUUAUUUAGUUGUUCAUGGGUGGUUUUGAAAAACAUGCUAGAAGUUACUUUGAAGAUGUGAUAUGCUCUUUCGAUAUAAAUAUGACGUGGUUGGCUGGGAUAGAUGUAGUUGAGAGUUUAUGGAAUUGUUUAACUGGUUUAAAUUUGGUAAAAUGGAUAUCGUGAUACUCUAAAGGAAACUUUGUAGGAUUUUCGGGUUGUGACACUGCUGCUGCAAACUUCAAUCUUUCCUCAAACUGCUCGAACCUUCCAACUUGAAAAGACUUGGUGAAAAUAUCUGUCAGCUAAUCUUCUGUUCUGCAAUAUACUAGCUUCACUUCUCCACUUUGUUGUACUUCUCGAAGAAAAUAAUACUUGACCUUGAAGUGUUUGGUCCAUCUUAGAAUAAACCCGUAUAACAUGGAGUGUUGAUUCACUCAAGCUUUUUCCAUAGCCUAAGUUCAGCAAGUGUUCAUCCAUUUAGCUGAAUUGUGUUGGUACACGA